rnacentral:siRNA from 1 species
GCCCUACAUCUUCCAGAGGC